rnacentral:rRNA from 1 species
UACGAAGGGGGCUAGCGUUGUUCGGAAUUACUGGGCGUAAAGCGUUCGCAGGCGGUUCUAUAAGACAGAUGUGAAAUCCCCGGGCUCAACCUGGGAACUGCAUUUGUGACUGUAGAGCUGGAGUACGGUAGAGGGGGAUGGAAUUCCGAGUGUAGCAGUGAAAUGCGUAGAUAUGCGGAGGAACACCGAUGGCGAAGGCAAUCCCCUGGACCUGUACUGACGCUCAUGCACGAAAGCGUGGGGAGCAAACAGG